UACGUAGGGUGCGAGCGUUGCCCGGAUUUAUUGGGCGUAAAGGGCGCGUAGGCGGCUCUGCACGUCCGUUGUGAAAUCGCCCGGCUCAACUGGGCGGGGUCAGCGGAUACGGCGGAGCUUGAGCAAGCUAGGGGGCAAUGGAAUUCCCGGUGUAGUGGUGGAAUGCGUAGAUAUCGGGAGGAACACCAGUGGCGAAGGCGGUUGCCUGGGGCUUGCUGACGCUGAUGCGCGAAAGCGUGGGGAGCGAGCCGG
rnacentral:rRNA from 1 species